AGUGAACGCUGGCGGUAGGCCUAACACAUGCAAGUCGAACGGCAGCACAGUAAGAGCUUGCUCUUACGGGUGGCGAGUGGCGGACGGGUGAGGAAUACAUCGGAAUCUACUUUUUCGUGGGGGAUAACGUAGGGAAACUUACGCUAAUACCGCAUACGACCUACGGGUGAAAGCAGGGGAUCUUCGGACCUUGCGCGAUUGAAUGAGCCGAUGUCGGAUUAGCUAGUUGGCGGGGUAAAGGCCCACCAAGGCGACGAUCCGUAGCUGGUCUGAGAGGAUGAACAGCCACACUGGAAGUGAGACACGGUCCAGACUCCUACGGGAGGCAGCAGUGGGGAAUAUUGGACAAUGGGCGCAAGCCUGAUCCAGCCAUACCGCGUGGGUGAAGAAGGCCUUCGGGUUGUAAAGCCCUUUUGUUGGGAAAGAAAAGCAGCAGGUUAAUACCCCGCUGUUCUGACGGUACCCAAAGAAUAAGCACCGGCUAACUUCGUG
rnacentral:rRNA from 1 species